rnacentral:rRNA from 1 species
AGCGAACGCUGGCGGCAGGCCUAACACAUGCAAGUCGAACGAACCUUUCGGGGUUAGUGGCGGACGGGUGAGUAACACGUGGGAACGUGCCUUUAGGUUCGGAAUAACUCAGGGAAACUUGUGCUAAUACCGAAUGUGCCCUUCGGGGGAAAGAUUUAUCGCCUUUAGAGUGGCCCGCGUCUGAUUAGCUAGUUGGUUGAGGUAAUGGCUCACCAAGGCGACGAUCAGUAGCUGGUCUGAGAGGAUGAUCAGCCACAUUGGGACUGAGACACGGCCCAAACUCCUACGGGAGGCAGCAGUGGGGAAUCUUGCGCAAUGAGCGAAAGCCUGACGCAGCCAUGCCGCGUGAAUGAUGAAGGUCUUAGGAUUGUAAAAUUCUUUCACCGGGGACGAUAAUGACGGUACCCGGAGAAGAAGCCCCGGCUAACUUCGUG